GAAACACCUUCCCUGGAAAACAACAGCAACCUUUAAUGCUUAGUUCUCUAGGAGCUAGAGAGAUGGAUCAGUGGUCAACAGCAUUGAGUGCUCUUCCAGAGGUCUAUGGUUGGAUUCCCAGCACCCACAUGGAAGCUCACAAGAUCUGACACCUGCACACAGACAGAACAAAAGAUAACAGGCAAAACACCAAGAUAAAGGAGCUGUGAAGCCAUCUGAGGGAGAGUUUCACUGGGAUCGGUAUCUGAGGGACAGAAGAUCCACUCCUGCAAUUGAAAGAAAGAUGAAAUUUUAAGACCUUAACCCAGAGCUGUUCCUGGUCUUCUCUCAAAGCCUCUGGUUCUGGGAAAGCCCUUGGUCUUGGGUAAAGAGACAAGAAAAGGGACUAACUAAGCUUAGUGAAGUAUAGACAUCUGGGAUGAGAUAGCAAAUCAAGUCUACCAGUGAGCCGAAACAGCCUCCGCAGAUGAGGGAAUGGGACGCUAACCUGGAGGAUUCC